rnacentral:rRNA from 1 species
UAGGCGUAAAUGAUGCGAGUUAAGUGUGGGGCAUCUACGAGAUGGCCCUGUGCUGUAGGGUAGCCGUUAAACUCGCUGCCUGGGGAGUACGGUCGCAAGGCUGAAACUUAAAGGAAUUGGCGGGGAGCACCACAAGAGGUGGAGGCUGCGGUUCAAUUGGACUCAACGCCGGAAACUCAUCGGGAGCGACAGCAGUAUGAUUGCCAGGUUGAUGACCUUGCUUGACAAGCUGAGAGGAGGUGCAUGGCGUAGUCGUGU